rnacentral:rRNA from 1 species
UACGUAGGGUGCAAGCGUUGUCCGGAAUUAUUGGGCGUAAAGAGCUCGUAGGCGGUCUGUUGCGUCGGCUGUGAAAACCCGGGGCUCAACCCCCGGGCCUGCAGCCGAUACGGGCAGACUAGAGUUCGGCAGGGGAGACUGGAAUUCCUGGUGUAGCGGUGAAAUGCGCAGAUAUCAGGAGGAACACCGGUGGCGAAGGCGGGUCUCUGGGCCGAUACUGACGCUGAGGAGCGAAAGCGUGGGGGAGCGAACAGG